rnacentral:rRNA from 1 species
UAAGGAAUAUUGGACAAUGGAGGCAACUCUGAUCCAGCCAUGCCGCGUGAAGGAAUAAGGCCCUAUGGGUUGUAAACUUCUUUUAGACGGGACAAAACCCCUUUACGUGUAAAGGGUUGAUGGUACUGUCAGAAUAAGCAUCGGCUAACUUCGUGCCAGCAGCCGCGGUAAUACGAAGGAUGCAAGCGUUAUCCGGAAUUAUUGGGUUUAAAGGGUGCGUAGGCGGACUAAUAAGUCAGUGGUGAAAGCCUGCAGCUUAACUGCAGAAUUGCCAUUGAUACUGUUAGUCUUGAGUACAGUUGAGGUAGGCGGAAUGUGUCAUGUAGCGGUGAAAUUCUUAGAUAUGACACAGAACACCGAUUGCGAAGGCAGCUUGCUAAGCUGUAACUGACGCUGAGGCACGAAAGCGUGGGGAGCAAACA